UACAGAGGGUGCUAGCGUUGUUCGGAAUCAUUGGGCGUAAAGGGCGUGUAGGCGGUUUGUUAAGUCAUGUGUGAAAGCCCCCGGCUCAACCGGGGAACGACGCAUGAAACUGGCAAGCUAGAGUACCGAAGAGGGGGGUGGAAUUCCCGGUGUAGCGGUGAAAUGCGCAGAUAUCAGGAAGAACACCCGUGGCUAAGGCGGCUCUCUAGUACGGUACUGACGCUGAGACGCGAAAGCGUGGG
rnacentral:rRNA from 1 species